AACCUUAUGGACCUGCGGGCGUAUACCUGCGGAAGGAUCAUUACAAGUGACCCCGGUCUAACCACCGGGAUGUUCAUAACCCUUUGUUGUCCGACUCUGUUGCCUCCGGGGCGACCCUGCCUUCGGGCGGGGGCUCCGGGUGGACACUUCAAACUCUUGCGUAACUUUGCAGUCUGAGUAAACUUAAUUAAUAAAUUAAAACUUUUAGCAACGGAUCU
rnacentral:misc_RNA from 1 species